GGGGAUGUAGCUUAGUGGUAAAGCCUNNAUGAUGCGGGUUCGAUUCCCGUCAUCCCCUCCA
rnacentral:tRNA from 1 species